CAUUCCCCUGGCUAAACACCUCGGCAGAAGGCUGAGCACAGGGCUUAGGAGGGCAGCUGGACAGGACUCCUGUAAGGCGAGGCUAAAGCCGAGCCCAGAGGACGCCCAUUUCUCAGGUCUGUGUGCUUACCUGGGUACGGCACUCUGCCUUUGGUGACCAGCUCUGUGAGUAAGAUUCCAAAGGACCACACGUCAGACUUGAUUGUGAACCUUCCAUACAGGGCCGCUUCGGGGGCUGUCCACUUAAUGGGAAACUUUGCACCUGCGGAACGGAACGGAGACCUGGUUACUCGUCAGGCAGUUCCAGGUCCUGACAGGUCUUGGCCCUUGGCUCUCAGCUUCAGGACAACACAGACUGCCCGCAACUCCUGCCGCCCUCUAGCACCAAUAACUCCUGCUGCUCUCCCCUCCAGUGUAUGCAUCUGAAGAUGGUCGUGAAGACAAGAAAGAAGAAACAGUACUCCAAGAGGGACGGGUAGAAUCUUCUGUUUGGAAAUAAAGUCACGGAAAUGUUG
rnacentral:lncRNA from 1 species